UACGGGGGGGGCAAGCGUUGUUCGGAAUUACUGGGCGUAAAGGGCUUGUAGGCGGCCAACUAAGUCAGACGUGAAAUCCCUCAGCUUAACUGGGGAACUGCGUCUGAUACUGGAUGGCUUGAGUUUGGGAGAGGGAUGCGGAAUUCCAGGUGUAGCGGUGAAAUGCGUAGAUAUCUGGAGGAACACCGGUGGCGAAGGCGGCAUCCUGGACCAACACUGACACUGAGGAGCGAAAGCCAGGGGAGCAAACGGG
rnacentral:rRNA from 1 species